UGGGGAAUAUUGCACAAUGGAGGGAACUCUGAUGCAGCGACGCCGCGUGAACGAAGAAGGCUUUCGCGUCGUAAAGUUCUUUUAUAUGGGAAGAUAAUGACGGUACCAUAAGAAAAAGCCCCGGCUAACUACGUGCCAGCAGCCGCGGUAAUACGUAGGGGGCUAGCGUUGUCCGGAAUCACUGGGCGUAAAGGGUUCGCAGGCGGAAAUGCAAGUCAGGUGUAAAAGGCAGUAGCUUAACUACUGUAAGCAUUUGAAACUGCAUAUCUUGAGAAGAGUAGAGGUAAGUGGAAUUUUUAGUGUAGCGGUGAAAUGCGUAGAUAUUAAAAAGAAUACCGGUGGCGAAGGAGGGUUACUGGGCUCAUUCUGACGCUGAGGAACGAAAGAGUGGGUAGCAAACAGG
rnacentral:rRNA from 1 species